UACAGAGGUCUCAAGCGUUGUUCGGAUUCAUUGGGCGUAAAGGGUGCGUAGGCGGCGCGGUAAGUCGGGUAUGAAAUCUCGGAGCUUAACUCCGAAACUGCAUUCGAUACUGCCGUGCUUGAGGACUGGAGAGGAGACUGGAAUUUACGGUGUAGCGGUGAAAUGCGUAGAUAUCGUAAGGAAGACCAGUGGCGAAGGCGGGUCUCUGGACAGUUCCUGACGCUGAUGCACGAAGGUCAGGGGAGCAAACGGG
rnacentral:rRNA from 1 species